AGGAUUAUCCCUUAACAACAACACUGACUUUGGUUCUCAAUACAGUAAGUGCUUUUUGUUGGGGUAGUUUUG
rnacentral:pre_miRNA from 1 species